rnacentral:rRNA from 1 species
UACGAAGGGGGCUAGCGUUGCUCGGAAUCACUGGGCGUAAAGCGCACGUAGGCGGAUUGUUAAGUCAGGGGUGAAAUCCUGGAGCUCAACUCCAGAACUGCCUUUGAUACUGGCGAUCUCGAGUCCGGGAGAGGUGAGUGGAACUGCGAGUGUAGAGGUGAAAUUCGUAGAUAUUCGCAAGAACACCAGUGGCGAAGGCGAAUCUCUGGACAGUUACGUGACACUGAGGCACGAAGGCCAGGGGAGCAAACGGG